rnacentral:rRNA from 1 species
AACGCUAGCUACAGGCUUAACACAUGCAAGUCGAGGGGAAACGACAUCGAAAGCUUGCUUUUGAUGGGCGUCGACCGGCGCACGGGUGAGUAACGCGUAUCCAACCCGCCCACCACUUGGGGAUAACCUUGCGAAAGUAAGACUAAUACCCAAUGAUAUCUCUAGAAGGCAUCUGAAAGAGAUUAAAGAUUUAUCGGUGAUGGAUGGGGAUGCGUCUGAUUAGCUUGUUGGCGGGGUAACGGCCCACCAAGGCAACGAUCAGUAGGGGUUCUGAGAGGAAGGUCCCCCACAUUGGAACUGAGACACGGUCCAAACUCCUACGGGAGGCAGCAGUGAGGAAUAUUGGUCAAUGGGCGAGAGCCUGAACCAGCCAAGUAGCGUGCAGGAAGGCGGCCCUAUGGGUUGUAAACUGCUUUUAUAAGGGAAUAAAGUGAGAGUCGUGACUCUUUUUGCAUGUACCUUAUGAAUAAGGACCGGCUAAUUCCGUGCCAGCAGCCGCGGUAAUACGGAAGGUUCGGGCGUUAUCCGGAUUUAUUGGGUUUAAAGGGAGCGUAGGCCGGAGAUUAAGCGUGUUGUGAAAUGUAGGCGCUCAACGUCUGCACUGCAGCGCGAACUGGUUUCCUUGAGUACGCACAAAGUGGGCGGAAUUCGUGGUGUAGCGGUGAAAUGCUUAGAUAUCACGAAGAACUCCGAUUG